rnacentral:rRNA from 1 species
AGUAUAGCAAUAUAUGAGACCGGCGCACGGGUGCGUAACGCGUAUGCAAUCUACCUUUUACAGGGGGAUAGCCCAGAGAAAUUUGGAUUAAUACCCCAUGGUAUAUUUUAGUGGCAUCACUAGAUUAUUAAAGUUCCAACGGUAAAAGAUGAGCAUGCGUCCCAUUAGCUAGAUGGUAAGGUAACGGCUUACCAUGGCUACGAUGGGUAGGGGUCCUGAGAGGGAGAUCCCCCACACUGGUACUGAGACACGGACCAGACUCCUACGGGAGGCAGCAGUGAGGAAUAUUGGACAAUGGGCGCAAGCCUGAUCCAGCCAUGCCGCGUGCAGGAAGAAGCAUCUAUGGUGUGUAAACUGCUUUUGUACGGGAAGAAACACUCCCUCGUGAGGGAGCUUGACGGUACCGUAAGAAUAAGGAUCGGCUAACUCCGUGCCAGCAGCCGCGGUAAUACGGAGGAUCCAAGCGUUAUCCGGAAUCAUUGGGUUUAAAGGGUCCGUAGGCGGUUUGGUAAGUCAGUGGUGAAAGCCCAUCGCUUAACGAUGGAACGGCCAUUGAUACUGCCAGACUUGAAUUACUGGGAAGUAAUUAGAAUAUGUAGUGUAGCGGUGAAAUGCUUAGAUAUUACAUGGAAUACCAAUUGCCAAGGCAGGUUACUACCGGUGGAUUGACCCCUGAUGGACCAAAGCGU